CAUUUAGUCCGGGCUCCGAACAGUUUCUGAUUAUUAUUGUGUUUGAAACCGACGGGGAAGUGCCUGAUCCACCGAAACCCGCUCCCAAGAAGGGCGCCAAGAAAGCUCCGUCCAAACCGGCGAGCAAGUCUGGCAAGAAGCGCAAGAGGUCGAGGAAGGAGAGUUACAAAGUGAUGAAGCAGGUUCACCCCGACACCGGCAUCUCCUCCAAGGCCAUGAGCAUCAUGAAUUCAUUCGUGAACGAUAUCUUCGAGCGCAUCGCGGGUGGGGCUUACCGCCUGGCCGACUACAACAAGCGGUCCACCAUCAGCUCCCGGGAGAUCCAGCCGUGCGCCUGCUGCUGCCCGGGGAGCUGGCUAAACACGCCGUGUCCGAAGGGACAAUGGCGGUGACCAAGUACACCAGCUCCAACUGAAGACAAGUUUACUGACAAAACAAACGGGAAAAUCAAAGGAUCUUUUAAGAGCCACUCACGGUUUCAUUAAAAGAAUAUUGCGACAUGGACUUGAGACAGCUGCACCAUAGACCCUGAAAGUGACAUCAGGAAUAUCUUCUCCGCAAGUUACAGUGAGCAUCUGGGUUAAAUCUGAUCAACAGCACAAGUCAAAGCCCAAAGCAUCAUUGAGGAUCCCUGGCACAUAUCUCCCAAUCUCUUUGACCUAUAAUCAUCGGGAAGGAGGCACUGGAGCUUGAGGACUAUGACUGCUAGACUGGG